GACGAACGCUGGCGGCGUGCCUAAUACAUGCAAGUCGAGCGGAUCAUUCCUUCGGGAAUGGUUAGCGGCGGACGGGUGAGUAACACGUAGGCAACCUGCCUGUAAGACUGGGAUAACUACCGGAAACGGUAGCUAAGACCGGAUAACUGGUUUCUUCACCUGAAGAGAUCAUGAAACACGGAGCAAUCUGUGGCUUACAGAUGGGCCUGCGGCGCAUUAGCUAGUUGGUAGGGUAACGGCCUACCAAGGCGACGAUGCGUAGCCGACCUGAGAGGGUGAUCGGCCACACUGGGACUGAGAAACGGCCCAGACUCCUACGGGAGGCAGCAGUAGGGAAUCUUCCGCAAUGGACGCAAGUCUGACGGAGCAACGCCGCGUGAGUGAUGAAGGUUUUCGGAUCGUAAAGCUCUGUUGCCAGGGAAGAACGCCCAGGAGAGUAACUGCUCCUGGGGUGACGGUACCUGAGAAGAAAGCCCCGGCUAACUACGUGCCAGCCGCCGCCGUAAUAC
rnacentral:rRNA from 1 species